AAAAAUUAAAAAAAAUAAAAAAAAAAUGAAGGAAAAUGGAGGUCACAAUUAGGUGGGUUUAUUCAUUAUUUGUUUCUGGUUUUGGCGUGCUUCGUCGCGUUUACCGUGCUGUGCUGGUCGGCAACGGCCUCCUUUCUCGCUUUUUGGCUCACCAAGUUUAUGAAAUCUUUCCAAACUCUAUAGCUGGCUGCAGAUUUUGAGAUUCCUGUUCUCAUUCUCCCCUUUUUUUUCCCAGUUGAUUGCUCAAAAAUCAAAAUUGCUGGUNNNNNNNNNNNNUUUAGUGUAUUGUUUUGGGAUCCCAUCAAUUGUACUGAUGGUGACUUCGAUUGCUGAAGGCUUUUUAAUAACCCAAUCUUAGUUCAUCUUGAAUUUGAUAUAAGGGCAAGUGUAUAUAGAGGAUAUUCUUGUGUAAUUGCUUUCAGACAUUACUGUGAGUUUGGUUUUGCUGUGUGGGGUAAAAAAUGGUUGGAAAUUCUUUAGCUCCGGUUUCAACAUGCCCUGUUGCGUUAUCUUCUUCAUUGAUUAUUGUUCCGCCUGGUUCUUCAAGCUUCUUGCCUUGUCUUCCAUUGAGGCAACGAAAGCGGCUCAUGCGGGUAAGAGCUAUGUCAGCAGAUGCAGGACAUGGCCAAGCUGCUUCUUCUUCCUCUUCUUCAGAGAAAAAGAAUCCACUUGCAGUUGUUUUAGAGGUUCCUCAAAGUAUUUGGAGGCAAACGUUGAAGCCAUUGAGUGAUUUUGGGUUUGGAAGGAGGAGCAUUUGGGAAGGUGGGGUGGGUUUGUUUCUUGUGUCAGGUGCAGUCCUCCUUGCUCUUAGUUUGGCUUGGUUGAGGG
rnacentral:misc_RNA from 1 species